AAGAGCAGCUUUUCUAAUCUUACCAUCUCCCUGCUUUAAAGGCCUGCAUUUUGAACUCUGACCAGAUGUGAACUCCUUUGGAUCUGAUCUAGAUGUCAUGUAAGUAGUUCCUUCUUCAGUCUGUGGCAAGCUGCUGAGUGAGUUAAAAAGGCUGACACGAAGAAUGGCAGCAGAAUUACCCUCUGCACCUCAGUACAUGGGAUCCCC
rnacentral:lncRNA from 1 species